rnacentral:lncRNA from 1 species
CCCACUAUUUUUCAGGUAUCGCCGGCGGUGAGAGUUGAGACGAGACGUGAGACACGUUCGUAGUGGUCGCUAGAGCUUCCGACUCAGGUUAUUCGGUUUAGUUUCUACCCUUACUGUCCUGUUGAUAUAGCUUAGAUAGUUUAUAUGGUUCAGUUAGCUGAUCUUUAUGAUUGUUUGAAUGUUGGUGAUCUGGUUUUGGUAGAUCUGGGGAUGCUUCGUUAUUUAUGCAUGUAAACUAAGGUUUGUGGAUUUGGAUAUUGAUUUUAUGGAUAUCGGAUUUUCUUGUAUUUACAUAUCGUGGUUUUCUACCCCUCGAGGUAGUCGGUUUUCAAAAUAGAGUUUCCGUGUGGGAAACAGUUUUAAAAAGGUUUUCGAAUGGUUUUUAUGAAUGAAUGAAUUAGAGUUUAAAAACAAAAGCUUCCGUGUGGGGAGCACUUUUAAAUAGGAUGUUUGUUGUAUUGUGCAUUGCAUCAUCCAGCGCCUAAGGAGUGCUUAGAGGCAUGCAUCAUUCUAAGGAUUGUUAGCUGUAUGGAAAUGCAUAUCAUGCCUUGGUUGUUGAUUGGUAAAUGUAGAUUGUGGUUGUGAUCCUGUUGUAUCGUUGGUACGCCGUGCAAAUACAAAGGAGACUCUGUCCGAGUGGACAGAGGAACUUUGUAUUUGUGGCGGGUGCACGUCGAGCUGGGGCCAGGUUGAAAAAAAAAAAAAAAAUUUGGCAACGUCUUCCGCUACUCGGUUUCUAAAUUGGUAAGGAAUUUUAAAAAGGUUUUUAAAAUCGGGCCCAGGGGCCGUGACAACUCAUAAUGCGUAUACUAGCCAAUCCGGCCUACAUUGCAGUCCGGGCUACUAUACUAAUUAUGAGUGCGAUCGCCCUCCACGUACCUAUAAGUUAUUUUCGCAUGAGAGAGCUUCCGAAUCCGACGAUCCACACCGUUAAUCGUUAUCCCUAGAAGCAAUUCGAAUAUUUACGAAAUCAAAUUUCACAAUUUGAGUAAACAUAUAUGUAUAUACUCAUGUGGUGGUCCGACCUAACUAUACUAUUAUGAGUACGAUCGCCUUCGUACUCAUAAGUUGUUUUCGAUGAUAGAUCUUCCGAAUCGACGAUCCACACCGUUAAACGUUAUCUAGAGCAUUUAAAACAUCUAGAAAUCAAAUUUCAUAAUUUUUCGACAUCAUUUACCUUACGAUCAAAAGCUCACAAAAUUGACAAUUUUUAACGGCCGGUAUGAAAUACUUGCUAGUUUAACGGUGCAAAAGAAUCCGAAUAGGUUGAAUUUUUUAUUGAAAAUUCUAUUCACUACCUAGAUAAAGAUCAAUAACUCUGAUAUUAAAUUGAAGGAUCCGAUCAUCCAUUUUUAAGACAUCGUUUGAUUUUGACCGUUCAUUUUAUGCCCGCUUUAUGGAUUUUAUUAUGAUUUCGAAAAAUUACGAAAUUUAUUUUCUAGAAGUUUCAAAUACUCUAGAUCAUAUUUAACGGAAUGGAUUGUCGAUUCGGAAGCUCCAUCAUCGAAAACAACUUAUGAGUACGAAGGGCCGAAUACUCAUAAUAGUAUAGUAGCCCUACUCUAUAUAUAUAUAUAUAGAGUGCGGCUAGGAUGCUUAUGGAAGCACGGAGGGCUCUGUGCUUCCACUUUGUUUUCGAUGUUCGGACUAUCGAAUCGACGAUCCCACAGCCCCCCGUUAAACAAUUAUCUAGAGCAUUGAAUAUUUAGAAUCAAAUUUCCAAAUUUUGAGUAAACAUUAUAUGUAUACGUAUACUGUGGGGUCCGGCUACUAUACUAUUAUGAGUACGAUCGCCUUCGUACUCAUAAGUUGUUUUCGAUGAUAGAUCUUCCGAAUCGACGAUCCACACCGUUAAACGUCAUUUACAGCAUUUAAAACUUCUAGAAAUCAAAUUUUAUAAUUUUUCGACGUCAUUUACCUUACGAUCAAGAGGUCACAAAUUUGACAAUUUUUAACGGCCGGUAUGGGAUACUUGCUAGUUUAACGGUGUAAAAGAAUCGAAAUUUGUUGAAUAUUUGAUAAAAAAUUUUAUUCAAUACAUAUAUAAAGAUCAAUAACUCCGAUCUUGAAUUGAAGGAUCCGAUCAUCCUUUUUAGGACGUCGUUCGAUUUUGACCGUUCAUUUUAUACCCACUUGAUGGACUUUAUUAUAAUUUCGAAAAUUUACGAAAUUUAUUUUCUAGAAGUUUCAAAUACUCUAGAUCAUAUUUAACGGAGUGGAUCGUCGAUUUGGAAGCUCCAUCAUUGAAAACAACUUAUGAGUAUGAGGGCUCCAAUACUCAUAAUAGUAUAGUAGCCAUGGCCUAUAUAGGUUAUAUAUAUAGUAUUAUAAUAGUUACUAUAUAUACUAAAUACUAGAGAGAGAGAGAGAGAGAGAGAGAGAGAGAGAGAGAGAGAGAGAGAGAGAGUUUUGCUAGACUACUAUCAGUAGUAAACGAGCCGUUUUACUACCUAUUUGUUUUCGAUGAUAGAGCUUCCAAAUUGACGAUCGGCUCCGUUGAACAUGAUCUAUACCACUUGAAAUGUUUAGAAAUCAAAUUUCAAAUCUUUUCGACAUCAUUUGCCUAAUGAUUAAAGGGUUUCAAAAUUUGUAAUUUUAAUGGUCAAUUAGAGGCGUUUUCUCGUUUAACGGCGUAAAGAUAUCCAAAUCAAUUGAAUUUUUGUUAGAAAAUUUUUUAAACUAUUUAAAACAAGAUCUAUACUCUUGAUCUUGAUUAUAAGACUCCUAUCAUCAUUUUUUAAAGAAUAUUCAUUUUCAGCCAUUCAUUUUUCUGUUCACUUGAUGGAUAAAAGAACAAUAUCGAAAGUGCGUGAAAUUUGAUUUCUAGGUAGUUUAAAUGGUUUAGAUCAUAUUUCACGGAGGCGAUCGUUAAUUUGGAAGCUCUAUUAUUGAAAACAAAUAGGUAGUAAAACGGCUGUUUACUACCGAUAGUAUUUUAGCUCAACUCUCUCUCUCUCUCUCUCGUCUCUCUCAUCUCUAUUUACAUUUAUAUAUUAUUUAUUUAUAUUUAUUUAUUUAUUUUUAUAUAAUGAGUGAGGCGUACUAUGUAUCGGAGCAUCGAGCCUUCCGUAUGCUUCAGCUCAUUUCGAUGUAUUGUAUUUCAAAUCGUCGAUCGGCUCGUUAAUUUGAUUAGAAGUAUUUUUUGAAGUAUCAUUAGAAAUAUUUUUGAUUUUACCGAUAUCAUGUUACGGUAGUCGCCGAAAGAACGUGGUUUCGGGUUGAUGAAUGUUAGCUCGCGGAUUCGGCGUAGGUCGAUUUCAGUGCGUUUUUCGGCGAAAUUCGCCGAAAGAACGCGGUUUCGGUUCGGAUUCUUUCCGACGGUGUUUGGUUGCUUCGUGUUUUGUCGCUGAGCCUUGUAGGCUGGUCACCAUCGUCAUUUUGUGGGUUCAAUGAUGAUAGGUGAGCGACGGAGGGUUCCAGUGUCGAAAUAGACACUUCCGGGAACCCGGAUUCGUACGAUUAUCCGGCGAUGAUCAUAUGGUUGUGUUACCUCGUGUUCGCUGCCAAGGCAUCCAAAUUGGAGUGCUUUGGGGCAGCGGGUGACUCGUGACACGAGUCGGUGAGUUCGGGACACUUAGUGGGUCCCGACGGUGUCCCGGUGUGAUUUUCGGGACUUCCUGUGAGUUACGGUAAUCGGUUUUGGGAAACCGAUUACGGGGAUCCUGUGUGGGGGUUUGUGAGUCUCGUGCUUUGAGUUAGUGGUUUGGAUUCUGACUUGGUGGAUCUUCUUAGGUCCGGUAGACUCGUGCGUACCCAGUGUUCCGACGCGACAGUGACAGGUGGGUGCUUCGAGCUGGUAGUCGGUGAGAGCGUUUCACCUCCUUCUCCUGUUUUUCUAUUCCAGUAUAUUAGCUCUACAUGUCAGUUGUUUGGUUAUCGUUUGGCUAUCGUAUUUCGUUGACUGCAUUGGUUAGUGAUUGAUAGACAUGUAGAGCAGGUUGCAUUUGUAUUUCAGUAUCUCUGUGGACCUUGGGUCCAGGCAACACAUCGACUCUCUUGUCGUGUGUUUCGAUCUGGUUGAUCGAGGUUCGGCGUUGUACGCCCUAGCUUCUAUUUCAGUUUGGCAUUGUACGCCCUCGUUGUUGGCUUCGGCCUAGGCACCGGCUUUAGCCGGGUUUGUUUUUGUUUGAGCAUACCAGCAUGACUUAGUCACGGCACUUGGGGGUAUUCAUGACACCGGAUCGGUUUGGCCACCGAUCUGAGGUGUACUUAUCCGGAUAGGUCGUCCUGCGGGGCGGAUGGAUCAGGUCGGUGCAGUUAGUGACAGGCAGCGCUUGAGGUCUGCGGACCAAUACAGCAGGCACAGAUUGGGUACAGUUUCUAUUCAGUACUUUGAGGCAUUCUUUGCAUUGUUAUCUAUGCAGUAGCAGGUUUGUUUAUUGCUUCUUAUUUAUCUGCUGUAGCUACUGUAGUUUGUUUUCAUAUAUCAGCAUCUAUAUUUGUUUAUCUAUCUCCUUUGGUUUUCGGUGAUUACAGCUUGCCUUCGUGGCUCUGUCGUACCCACUGAGAAAACCAUGGUUGCGGUUUCUCACCCCCCAUUUCCCCCCCCCUCCCGGUGACAUAGACGAGGAGUUGGAUUUUGGGCUCGACGAGAGGACGAUCUAGCUAGUCUGGUAUAGCGAUCGCCACCCUGGUUGUAUUUCUUUCCCGCCUUUAGUAGUCAUUUAAAUAAAUGGUUUACUUAGAUGUUUGAAUGUUGUGAUUUCCGUUAUGCAUGAUUAGAUGAUCUUAUGAUUGUUUGAAUGAGUUGGUUUUCCUCGUAUGCAUGAGAUUAUGGAUGUUUUAUUAUACAUGAGAUUGGAGUCUUCAUAUAUGUGGUUUUGGAUCCUUGGUUUCAGAUUGGAUUUAUACGCUUUGCAGAUUUCUACCCCUCGAGGUAGCUGGUUUUCAAAAUAGAGUUUCCGUGUGGGAAACAGUUUUAAAAAGGUUUUCGAAUGAUUUUUAUGAAUGAAUGAAUUAGAGUUUAAAAACAAAAGCUUCCGUGUGGGGAGCACUUUUAAAUAGGAUGAUUGUUGUACUGUGCAUUGCAUCAUCCAGCGCCUAAGGAGUGCUUAGAGGCAUGCAUCAUUCUAAGGAUUGUUAGCUGUAUGGAAAUGCAUAUCAUGCUUUGGUUGUUGAUUGGUAAAGGUAGGUUGUGGUUGAGAUCCUGUUGUAUCCGUUGGUACGUCGUGCAAAUACAAAGGAGACUCUGCCCGAGUGGACAGAGGAACUUUGUAUUUGUGGCGGGUCUGUACGU